rnacentral:lncRNA from 1 species
UUUGCUUUUUCGAGACAGGGUUUCUCUUGUAGCCCUGGCUGUCCUGGAACUCACUCUGUAGACCAGGCUGGCCUCGAACUCAGAAAUCCACCUGACUCUGCCUCCCAAGUGCUGGGAUUAAAGACAUGUGCCACCACUGCCCGGCUUCCCUUCCAUUUCUAUAAGUGUCCCUACUCCAUCUAUCUAAUUAUAUAUAAAACAUACUCUUAAAACUAACUUUAGAUGGUUUUGCCACGCCCUGCUCAGCCCCACAUUCUUAAUCUUAUUUAGAUGCAAUAAUAAUAUUAAAUGUGGGAAGGACUGGCAAAGCCAUAUAGAAGAGGCCUGGAUCAUUUAUUUUUAGUUUAUGCUCUCAAAAUAUUAAGAAAUGCACGUUUAUAAACAUUGUGGUUUUAGAGACAUUUACAUUUAAUGAAUGCACACCCCUUUAAUCCACACACUUGGGAGGCAGAGGCAGUUGGAUCUUUCUGAGUUCAAGGUCAGCCUGGUCAACAGAAUAAGUUUCAGGACAGUCAAGGCUACCCAGAGAAACCCUAUUUAAAAAAAAAAAAAAAAAAAAAAGCAAGCUGGUGUGGUGGCUUAGUAUUCAAGAGGCUGAUAUUAAAAUAUUGUGGGCAACUUGAUCCCUGUAGUGAGUUCCAGGCUAGCCUAGGCUAUCGACUCAGACUUGGACUCAAACGAAAAAACCACAAACAAUUUAAAUUUAGGUUUGAUUACAAGACUAGAUAAUUACUCUAGUAGUCACAACUAAGCAGGACUGUCCUUUCUGAGUGUCUCAUACAGAAUACCUUCCCUACCACUAAACUCUGGGUCUUGGCACAUAGUUUCUGCUUUAAGUGCGCUUCUCACACAAGUAAUAUGGUAUUCUGGCUGCAAUGGAAGUUGCCCAGCAUGCUGAUCGAGAUAGGCUGCCUUGGAGGAGAUGGCUGCUGCCAGUUCUGGGAGUUGAGUGCUCAGGAAGAGAUCUGACCACCAGGACUCAGAAUCACAGCUCGGAAGAAGGAUUACAGAAUGAGAAGAGAGUUGCUGUACUAUUUUCAGCUUUCCUUCAGUGCCCUCCCCACCCCCCGCGCCACUCCCCAUCCCUCUCCCCGCCUCGGGGCGCACUGCCAAGUCCACAGGCACAUCUCCCGCCCUCUGGGGGGAAGAAGCGACGGUGGGCUACACAUUCAUUUCCCACCUUUGAUUUGCAGCAGGCCGCCUCUGGUUGUUGGGCAUCCAUAGCUUAAUUUACACAAUCGAGCUCUGGGUACCCGUGGAAAAACAGUCCAGGCGCCGCAGCCAUCCAUCAGUAUUCUCUUCAGUCUCUCGACAGCUGCUCACUCUGGGCUGGCUCAACCUGUACUGACCUCAUCUGCUCAGACAGAGCAGAGGAAGAUCUGGGAAAAAUUAGUUAUAUUAGUGACUCCCUGAAACACUCCGUUUACUUGUGAUAUGACAAAUAUUUCAGCCAUUAGGAUCUCUCCGUCUCUUAUCAUCUUAGAUGCACUCACUUACAUUCCAAAUCACUACUUAAUUUAAAAGCCUAUCUGUUGAGAUUGCAAAAGGCCUAGAGGAAGGGAGGGACAGACGCUGGGCUGCUCGGGUUGGAAUAGAAUGAGGCUAGGAAGUUUGAUUGAAUCUUUCUCUCUGAGACUUAUGCUCAGUCAGGUACAGUGUAAACACUUAGGAAGCAAGAGAUUUAAAGGGCCACCCUACACUGCCAAGAUUGAGACAUUCUGUUUGAAGCGGUCAAACAGCGUGGCGACCCCAGGCAAUGGCUUUAUCGUGGGUGUUCCCAUGCUCUCUGAACCUUGUCCUUACUCCUCACCAUACAGUGACUCAUUCAGGGAAUGUUCAUUGAACCCUGAGAGAUGCUAAACGACACUAUAGAUUCUGAGGGUGCAGGGAGCCGCGGGGCCAUCCUUAAAGCACUUCUCAGCCUAUUAUUAACAGCAAACAUUUCAACCCUUAUUGUGUGCCAGGUACGUUAAAAUACCUCGUGGUGAGUCUUAGGAUUUCUAUUGCGGCAACUAAACACCAUGCCCAAAAAUAAAAUAAAUAAAUGAAUAAAUAAAUAAAUAAAAAUAAGUUGGAGUUGAAAGGGUUGGAGAAGAAAGGGUUUAUUCAGCUUACAUUUCUACAUUGUAGCCUCUCACUAAAGGACAGAAACUUAAACAGGGCAGGAUUCUGGACGCAGGAGCUGAUACAGAGGCCAUGGAGGGGUGCUGUAUUGGCUUGCUUCCCCGGCUUGCUCAGCCUGCUUUCUUAUAGCACCCAGGACCUCCAGCCCAGGAAUGCCACUACCCACAAUGGGCUGGGUCCUUUCCCUUUGCUCACUAUUGAGAAAAUGCCUUACAGUUGGAUCCCAUGGAGGCAUUUCCUCAACUGAGGCUCCUUCCUCUCUGAUGACUCUAGCUUGUGUCAAGUUGCCACAAACCAGCCAGUACAUAGUAUUUUCUUCACUGUCUUGUUACUCCAGUACGUAGUCAUUCACGUGUUCAAAUCUUACUCCACAAACCAGGAGAGUAGCUUCUCCUUCCCACCUUCUCCCUGCUCUCCCAUCUUACCAUGUAGCACAGGCUGGCCUUGUAAUCCUCCUGCCUCAGCCUCCUGGACACUGGGACUGUGGCUAUUAGCCAACACGCCUGGCUCGUCUGACUCUAAUUCACAGUACUAUACACUGUGUGGGACUAUUACCACUGGGACUUGCAGGCGAGACACUCCUAGGACAAAUGUGCUGUUUGGAUGGACAGGACAUGGAUGAACAUGUGGACUGUAUCAGGGUUCAAAUCUCCCUCAGGGGUGAGGGUGAGAGAUGAAUAGAACUCAAGCCAGCUGUCACCACUGCCUAGCUACCACACAGAUGGACAUCUUGCUAAUCUAAUAGUUUUUCUUAUCCUUUUUAGUAUCUGCUUUUGCCUCUCUCUCUCUCUCUCUCUCUCUCUCUCUCUCUCUCUCUCUCUGUGUGUGUGUGUGUGUGUGUGUGUAGAGGGUGUCUGUGCCACAUGUUUGGAGGUCACAGGACAACUUGGUGGAGUGCAUUCUCUCUUACCUCUUACGUGGGGGUCUGGCCUUUGAACUCAGGUCAUCUGGUUUGUGUGGAAGGUAUCUUUAUUCCCAGAGCAUCAUCCAGGCCCCAGUGGUGUUUGUGAGUGUGUGCAUUUAAAGGUGUACAUGUACACAUGUGUGCAAGUGUAAGGGGGAGGUUUGUACUAGUCAGGGUUCUCUAGAACUCACAGAAUGAAUACCUCUCUCCAUAUAUGUGCACACACACACACACACACACACACACACGUCCUGCUAGUCCAACAAUGACUGAUCAUUAAUGGAAAGUCCAAGAAUCCAAUAGCAUGUAGUCAAGUUGACAACCAAAAAUAGCCAAUGUUGAUAUUGAAUAUCUAAUUGCUCUUCACCUUAUGUUUGGAAGCAAGGCCCCUUGAUGAAUCCAGAGCUCACCUUUGUGGGUCACCUGACCAGGCAGCUUGCUCUGGGUGAUCUGGUCACCAGCUUGCUCUGGGUGAUCCGGUCUGUGUCACUGCCCUCUGGGAUCACAGGUGAGCCCACACCUAGCUGGCGUCUACCUUGUUCGGGGAUCUGAACUCUGAACCUCACACUUCCUUUGCUGAACUGUCUUGCCUGCCCCUACUUUUGCUUUAUCUGGGACUCUUCCCUUUGAGAUCCUGGCUAACCUUAGUCCCUAUGCUUUAGCACUUUCCAGCUGCAUGAAAGGAAAGCAAGGAAGGAGAAAUGCCCUUUCUGUUUGCUUUUAAACACGAACCCAUUGGUGAUAAAUUUCUGAUAAAUUGUAAUCGCAGGUAACUAAGACAUACAUAGUGGAAUGGUGAUAUUAGUCAAAUUAUGUAUUUAUGUCCUUAAGUAAAGUACUUUAGAUUGAUUCUCCCCUUUUAACUGUAUUUUGGUGCCUUUUGUCCAGCAUCCCUUCUCUGUUCUAUUCUCUGUUUAUUCUCAAUUUUUUAAACAACUAGUUGUUUCUUUUUUUUUUUUUUUAAGAUUUAUUUAUUAUAUGUAAGUACACUGUAGCUGUCUUCAGACACACCAGAAGGGGGCAUCAGAUCUCAUUACAGAUGGUUGUGAGCCAACAUAUGGUUGCUGGGAUUUGAACUCAGAACCUAUCGGAAGAGCAGUUAGUGCUCUUACCCACUGAGCCAUCUCUCCAGCCCUAUUCUCAAUUUUUAAUUACGUUUAUCUUUGCUGUAGCAGGGAUUACACUUCCUAUGCAAGCGUUUGACGGCUGAGCGAUCUUCCCAACCUCUUUUUCUAUGUUUUGUUCUGAGAUGCAGCCUCGUUAAGAUGCUUGCACUGUCAGUGGGCUCUUUAUGUGUCUUGGGGCUGUCUUAGAACUAGAGAUAGAUCUGCAUGCCUCAUUGUCUCGAGCGGGCAAGGAGGUGGAUACACACAGUUAGUAUAACAAACGUUAUGUUUUAUUAUGCUGAGGGUCAUCAGGCAAGGCUCACACUCUGAAUUCCUAAAUAUGGUCCUAAGCUUAUCUCCCCAAGGUACACCUGGCAACAUACCUUAUUUGAAGGUCAGGUCCGGUCUCUGGCAAAAGUCUCCCAUUUGCUAGAGGGGGAGUCUUUCCAGCUGCAAGGAAGACUAAGGUGGCGUCUCUCCAGAUGUGCAGAGCAGAGCAUUGCUCUUAGUCUCUGCUUAUAUAAUGUCCAGUGGGCAUCAUGGUGGUUCUGUGUUGUUCCCAGGGAGCAUGCGUCCCUGCAACGGGACAUGAGCACGGCAAACUGAUUGGGAAUACUUUAGAACCAGAGCUGUGGCCUUUGAACCUUGGAGUAAAUAAGACCCAAGAUCCUGAUUAAAAGAUGGGGAGAGGGAGGAAGAGGGAGAGGCAACCUCAAAGCGCUUGGAUCCCCGUAGUCAGGUAGAAUGAGGGACCCAGGGACCCUCCUUAGCUUUCUGACUGUUGGAUUGACAUUUAAAUAGCUACUUAACUUUUUUCUUAACAUAGAAAACACUAAUCUGUGUCAUCAGAAAUGUGUAGAAUUACUCUAAAAACCAUGAAAUCAUUUAAAACAUCGCAUAAUUAAUAGUUUGAAUAACAAUUUGUCUACCAAAUGAGACUUGCUUUUUUUUCCUGCUUUGUCAUGGGCAUACACUGCUCUAGCUGAGUGUGGUGGGGCCGCCCACAAUUCCGGCACUCAGGAAGCCGAGCCUGGAGAAUCUCCAGAAGGAGGUCAGCCUGUGCUGCAGGGCCAAACCCGGGGAGAAAGACAAUAACAGGAGGAAGCAUGUGCUGUGCCCUUGUAAUCUGAUGUCACCUGAAACAGUUGUCUUCGGCAGAAUACACAUCAAACUGAUAUUUUGUCUUUUUUCU